rnacentral:misc_RNA from 1 species
AAGCUGCGAUAAGUAAUGUGAAUUGCAGAACUCAGUGAAUCAUCGAGUCUUCGAACGCACAUUGCGCCCCCUGGUACUCCGGGGGGCACACCUGUCCGAGCGUCGUCGUCGUACCCUCGAGGCCCCGUCUGCGUCCCCGGGCGUGGCGGGGCCUCGGUCUUGGGCCUGCACGGUCCGCCCCUUGGGCGGGGGCCCGUAAGCUAUGGAGUGGGUCGUCCCCGGAGCCCCGAGCGCAGCGGCUGUACCCCAGGCUCGAGCAGGCUCCCGAGGGAGGCGGCCCCCGUCGGUGGCGCGCCCCGCGGCGCACGCAGUUUGACCUCGGAUCAGGUGGGGUUACCCGCUGAACUUAAGC